rnacentral:rRNA from 1 species
CCUACGGGAGGCAGCAGUGGGGAAUAUUGCGCAAUGGGGGAAACCCUGACGCAGCGACGCCGCGUGGAGGAUGAAGGCCUUCGGGUUGUAAACUCCUUUUCUUGGGGAAAAUGAUGAUGGUACCCAAGGAAUAAGCCACGGCUAACUCUGUGCCAGCAGCCGCGGUAAU